rnacentral:rRNA from 1 species
AUCAUGGAGAGUUUGAUCCUGGCUCAGAACGAACGCUGGCGGCGCGUCUUAAGCAUGCAAGUCGAGCGGUAAGUUGUAGCUUGCUACAACCUAGAGCGGCGGACUGGUGAG